AUGUCAUAAUGCCUAUGUCAUUCACUGCAUUUCAUCUCAUCAUGUAGGCAUUGUGUCAUCUCACAUCAUCACAAGAAAAAGGGAAGAGAAUGCGUUGGCAUGCUGAUAUGAGUGUUUCUGCCUGAUGGCAGUUAUGAAGAUUCAUUUGUGGGAAAAACUUUCCUGGAAUAGAAGUAUUCAUGCUGGUGAUGUUUCCUGAAAAAAAAAAAAAAAUUAUUCCUGAUAAUAGGCUUCAGAGUGUCUGCCUAAUUCCCACUGAUCCACAUCUGUUCCAUAAAGAGACAUCUCUUUGGAAUCAGUGGGAUUUUAGAACAACUCAUCAAAGGGGGUAUGAAAAUCAGGUUGGGGGCAAAUUUUCACUUUGGAGCCAAAUACCUCUAUCGAAUAAUAAAACAAUCCAUAUGUUCA